CCUACGUGAGGCAGCAGUGGGGAAUAUUGCACAAUGGGGGAAACCCUGAUGCAGCGACGCCGCGUGAGUGAGGAAGUAUUUCGGUAUGUAAAGCUCUAUCAGCAGGGAAGAAAAUGACGGUACCUGACUACGAAGCCCCGGCUAACUACGUGCCAGCAGCCGCGGUAAUACGUAGGGGGCAAGCGUUAUCCGGAUUUACUGGGUGUAAAGGGAGCGUAGACGGCAGCACAAGUCUGGAGUGAAAUCACGGGGCUUAACCCCGGAACUGCUUUGGAAACUGUGCGGCUGGAGUGCAGGAGGGGUGAGCGGAAUUCCUAGUGUAGCGGUGAAAUGCGUAGAUAUUAGGAGGAACACCGGUGGCGAAGGCGGCUUACUGGACUGUAACUGACGUUGAGGCUCGAAAGCGUGGGGAGCAAACAGGAUUAGAUACCCGUGUAGUC
rnacentral:rRNA from 1 species